rnacentral:rRNA from 1 species
GCUCUGGUGGAUUAGUGGCGAACGGGUGAGUAACACGUGAGUAACCUGCCCUUGACUCUGGAAUAAGCGUUGGAAACGACGUCUAAUACCGGAUACGAGCUUCCGCCGCAUGGUGAGGAGCUGGAAAGAAUUUCGGUCAAGGAUGGACUCGCGGCCUAUCAGGUAGUUGGUGAGGUAAUGGCUCACCAAGCCUACGACGGGUAGCCGGCCUGAGAGGGUGACCGGCCACACUGGAACUGAGACACGGUCCAGACUCCUACGGGAGGCAGCAGUGGGGAAUAUUGCACAAUGGGCGCAAGCCUGAUGCAGCAACGCCGCGUGAGGGACGACGGCCUUCGGGUUGUAAACCUCUUUUAGUAGGGAAGAAGCGAAAGUGACGGUACCUGCAGAAAAAGCACCGGCUAACUACGUGCCAGCAGCCGCGGUAAUACGUAGGGUGCAAGCGUUAUCCGGAAUUAUUGGGCGUAAAGAGCUCGUAGGCGGUUUGUCGCGUCUGCUGUGAAAACUGGGGGCUCAACCCCCAGCCUGCAGUGGGUACGGGCAGACUAGAGUGCGGUAGGGGAGAUUGGAAUUCCUGGUGUAGCGGUGGAAUGCGCAGAUAUCAGGAGGAACACCGAUGGCGAAGGCAGAUCUCUGGGCCGUAACUGACGCUGAGGAGCGAAAGCAUGGGGAGCGAACAGGAUUAGAUACCCUGGUAGUCCAUGCCGUAAACGUUGGGAACUAGAUGUAGGGGCCAUUCCACGGUUUCUGUGUCGCAGCUAACGCAUUAAGUUCCCCGCCUGGGGAGUACGGCCGCAAGGCUAAAACUCAAAGGAAUUGACGGGGGCCCGCACAAGCGGCGGAGCAUGCGGAUUAAUUCGAUGCAACGCGAAGAACCUUACCAAGACUUGACAUAUAC